GUUAGGCUGUGCUUUGGGCCAUUUCAUUCAUUGCUAUCUAUAGUGUAGUGAGAUUGUCAGUUAUCUGAAGAGGUACUAUUACCCCCAGACAGGGUCUCACUACUUCCCUGGAUAACCUGGAACUAACUUUGUAGGCCAGGUUGGCCUGGAACUCAAUGGAGAUAAUAAUUCCUUUGUGUCUGUCUCUCAAGUGCUGGAACUAAAGGUGUGCUCCACCACACCUGAUAGAAGAUCAGAAGGGGUCAGAUAAACUGGAGACAUCAGUUGGUCCUCCCAAUUCUGCUCUGAAAUACUGACGUGCAAUUUAAGAGCAUGAUUAGACCUUCAACCCAACUACCUGAAUAUCGACCUUGAAAAUUGUAUUAGCCUGAAGAUGCAGCAAAUAGCACCAGCAUUAAGCUAUCAGGCUAUUGAAAGAAUGGACCAGAAGAAAUUAGAAUUUCUCAUGGAACACUGCUGGAAGAGGAAGCAUCUGGGUAUCCAGAGGAGGAACUUGUGCCCAGGAGAAAGUUGCAACUUCUCAGUCCUCAGAAACAAGGCUUGAGUACAGAGCUAACGUUAUCACCAAAUCGCUAGAAGGAAGUCUUCUGAUGACUAGCCACGGUGGAAUGGAGCCAGUUGGUACUCCAAUCAUCAUUGCUACUUCUGGAUAGAUCUAAGGCCAGAAACUUUGUACAACAGAUAAACCGUGUCUGGAAAAAAAAGGAAGGAAGGAAGGAAGGAAGGAAGGAAGGAAAGCAGACUGGCCAAGUCCUGUGAAACAAGCCAGUAAGCAGCAUUCUUCAUGGCCUCUGCAUCAGCUCCUGCCACCAGGAUCCUGCCCUGUUUGAGUUCCUGUCCUGACUUUCUUCAGUGAUGAACAGCAAUGUGAAAGCAUCCUGGGUAUGAAAUUCAGGUCAUUAGGCUUGGUGGCAAGUACCUUUACUUGUGGAGCAGUCUCGUUUCCUAAAUGUUUUCUGCAAUCUUCGAACAGUUCUGGAUCCAGAUAGGCUCCUCCUCGUCCUCCUGCUCCUGUGCCCUGGGACCAUGCCUCUUCUACCAUAUGGACUCUCCCUAUGGAACAGUAAGCCAAAUAAACCCUUUCUCCCAGAAGUUGUCAUGGGUCAUGUUAUUUUGUCAUUGCCACAGAAAAUAACUAAUAUGCAUGGUUUCUAGAGAUUGAACUCAGGUUGCCUGGC
rnacentral:lncRNA from 1 species